AAGCGGAUUUCAGAGGUGAGUUAGAAGAGCAUCCUUAUGAGGAUGAUGUCUUCACUAAAUCAGUGGUGCAAUGCAGCAAGCAGGGUGGAAAGGAGUCUCCUCUGGAUAAAGGUACAGAAAGCUGCUAGACAAGGCUGUGCUGUGUGAGAAUACUGCAUGGACUCACUGAUCAGUAGUGCCUUUCUAAGUGUAAAUAGUUGUAUCCUAACGGGCAUGCUUGCUUUUAUUGUUUGAUCUGGUGUUAUCUUUUAAUUUUUAUGACAUUUCAGUUCUAUUUCACUGUCUUGCAAGCAGAUCUAAAAUCCCUGAUAUGUGGAAAGAAACUACCAGCCUAGACCUCUAGCUCUAACUUGCUAUUCUGGUUAUCAUGCCUGUCAGAAUGAAAAGAGUAAUUGUUUUGCUGCUAUAUGUUACCAUCAAAUAUUUUUGUUCUUCCAGUCCUGUGACUCAUUUAAAAAGACUGAACAUCACUUUGACGUACACAAACAGAACUAGAAAGCAGCUCAAGCCAAUGAAACAAAGCUUGUUUUGCAGGAAAACAUUAGGUAAACAUUCCUAGAAAGACAGAAGUGAAAUGCCUGGCAGGAACUACAGCAAGCAUCUGCUGCUCAGUGGUUAAAGAUUGCCCAGCAAAGUCAAGGGGACACGAGAAGAGAGCAAGGCUGAAGCUGAGGUCAUACCCGAGGAUCUUUCUACAUUCCUCCAAAGGGUGGAAAUCCCACCCUACCACACAUUCUCCUAGAUCAUAUGGGAGAUCUUCAGCUGAGUCACUGUAGAAGAGCAAUGUAGAAAUU
rnacentral:lncRNA from 1 species